rfam:Procavia capensis cont1.212660, whole genome shotgun sequence.
UUUGAGGAGAACACAUCGCACUCUGGUUCUUAGUAGAGAUCAAUGACCAAAUUCCUGUCCUUUUAAGGGAAUGUUAUCUGCAAUUAAAAAAUUGGAAAUGGCAAAUCAAAGAGCAUUCCCUUGGAAGAAGGGA